AUUGAACGCUGGCGGCAGGCCUAACACAUGCAAGUCGAACGGUAGCACAGAGAGCUUGCUCUCGGGUGACGAGUGGCGGACGGGUGAGUAAUGUCUGGGAAACUGCCCGAUGGAGGGGGAUAACUACUGGAAACGGUAGCUAAUACCGCAUAACGUCGCAAGACCAAAGAGGGGGACCUUCGGGCCUCUUGCCAUCAGAUGUGCCUAGAUGGGAUUAGCUGGUAGGUGAGGUAACGGCUCACCUAGGCGACGAUCCCUAGCUGGUCUGAGAGGAUGACCAGCCACACUGGAACUGAGACACGGUCCAGACUCCUACGGGAGGCAGCAGUGGGGAAUAUUGCACAAUGGGCGCAAGCCUGAUGCAGCCAUGCUGCGUGUAUGAAGAAGGCCUUCGGGUUGUAAAGUACUUUCAGCGGGGAGGAAGGGAGUGAGGUUAAUAACCUUAUUCAUUGACGUUACCCGCAGAAGAAGCACCGGCUAACUCCGUGCCAGCAGCCGCCGUAACAC
rnacentral:rRNA from 1 species